CCCGGCGGAAGAAGGGGGCUCUCCAAGCACACCUGGCAGCCUGCAGCCUUUAGGUUUCUUCCCUGUUCCCUCUGCUGCCGACUUUUCUUUCACUUUCACUUAGAGCAAGAUGGCAGCCCGCGUCCCUGUGUGAAGCCGUCUGCAGCAGCUGCCAGAGCCCUGCUUGCUGUUUCCUUUCUCACCACCCACCUCACCCGGAAAUCCCCUGUCUCGAAAAGGCACUCUGUCACGUGUACACAGGAAAGGGCCCUGACAAGAGGAUGGGACUGCAGUUGUGGCUGCCAGAGUCUUGCUUUGUCGCCCAGGUUGGAGUGCAGUGGCACGAUCUCGGCUCAGUGCAACCUCCGCCUCCUGAGUUCAAGUGAUUCUCCUGCCUCAGCCUCCCUAGUAGCUGGGAUUACAGGACAAGGAGAGGGACAAAUUCCUUCUUGGCAUCCUUAUGGCCCUGUGACCUGCUAAUGAAUGCUGACUCUGAGUUGCUACUAGAAUUUGGUUUCCUUGUGGCUUCCCAGGAAUUGGUCUCACUCUGCUCACUCUGUCUCCCAAGCUGGAGUGCAGUGGUACAGUCACGGCUCACUGCAGCCUCCACUUCCUGGACUCAAGUGAUCUUCUCACUUCAGCCUUCUGAGUAGCUGGGACUACAGCCCCCUCUGCAGCUCUUCAUGGGGGUCCACUCAAGUCAGAAGCCACAUUUGGGUGUGAUUCAGAGAGCUGUUUAUGCAAAACCAGCUUUGUCACCAUCAGGCAAGGCACCUGAAUUCCCACCGCAGAGAGUGUUGUGGCCGUGAGGACUUUUCUGUCACCAGCCAUUUCCAGGUAGACCCAGUGUAAUCACAAGCAUCCUUGUAAGUGGCAAAGAGGCAGAGGAGACAGCGCCAGAGAGGCAGCUGCAUGAGAAGGAUCAAGAUGUUGCUGACUUUGAAGUUGGAAGAAGAAGGCCAUGAGCCUCAGUAUGUGGGCGGCUUCUAGAAGCUGGAAGGGGCAAGGAGAUGGAUUUGACCCUUCAGCCUCCAGGGGCAGCUGUACCUGCCAUCACUGAUUGUAGCCUGGUGAGGCCUGUUUUAGACUUCUGACCUGUAGAGCUGUAACAUAAUACAUUUGGGUUGUUUUCAACCACUAAGUUUGUGGUAAUUUGUUGUAGCAGCUGUAGAAAAUGAAUACAUAUGAAUCCUCUGGCAUUUGUUUGAGAUUUGCUCUAUGGCCUAGUAUGUGGUUGUAAAUGUUCCAUCUGUGCCUGAAAAAAUGUAUAUUUCUAAUUCAGUAGUCUCUGCUUUUUUUUUUUAUUUUGUACCCCAUCAAUAAAAUGAUUUUCAGCAUGUAUCCCCAAAUAAACAAUAUUUUAUUUAUUGAUUGAUUGAUAAACAGACAUGUUUAAUGAUAGCUUGCUUUUCACAGAGGUGACUUCGGAGACUUCUAAUCUAUAAUCCAGGAGUAUAUAACCAUG
rnacentral:lncRNA from 1 species